rnacentral:lncRNA from 1 species
CCCACCAGUGCCAAUGGGGGCAGGAGUGGGGUGGCCCCUCAGGCAGCACCCAGGGGUGUGACCCCCCCUCCAUGGUGCCCCCCCCUUAGUGUCAUCCCCCAGGCCCUUGCUCUGCCCGGGGGGAGCCAGAAAGUGCCCCCCCCGCCUAUUUUUUGCCCCUUUUUUUACUGAUUUGCCAUUAAAACCCCAUCAGAAAAGUUCCUCCAAGUUUUUAUUCUGCCUCAGCCCCACAAGACAUUGCGGGGGGGGGUCACACUGCCCCCCCCAUGCCCCACAUAAACACCCCCUGACCCACAACAUACACACCCCCCAAUUCCCCCCCCAAGCUGGGGCUUCCAGCCCCAUCUGGACCCAGGGUGUGGGGCAGAGCUCGCUGUGGGGCUGAUCUGGAUCCCAGGCUGUGGGGCAGAGCUUGCCAUGGGGCAGAGCUCGCCGUGGGGCUGGUCCAGACCCAUAGGUGUGGGGCUGAGUUUGCUGUGGGGCUGAUCUGGAUCCCAGGGUGUGAGGCAGAGCUCGCUCUGGGGCUGACCCUGACCUGGAGGUGUGGGGCAGAACUUGCUGUGGGGCUCCCCCACCUCCACCAGGCUGGCUGUCGUUCCCCCCUCCGUGGCUACGAGUCCACUCGAGUCCCCUCGCCACCGUGGGGCUCGCCGUGGGUCUCCUCUCCGCAGCGGAAGCGCAGGAAGUCGGUGACGCUGAGGACCCCCCGGCGCCGCAGGAACUGGCCCACGCUCAGCUCGGGCUCCAGCAGGAAGCCCUGGGCCAGUAGCCGUGACUCCUCCUCGCCCCCCAACUCGUCCUGGGGGGUCCCCACUUCCCUGGGGGCCAGCCCCACCACGUGCUGGGCCACCUUCCGCCCCACAUCCUCCAAGGUGGCCUCCGGGGCUCGGGGUUCCGUCACCUCGCAAGCCACCAGGGCCCCGUAGGUGCCCAUGGCUACCGGGGCGGGGGGGGCCGCUAGCCCCCCGUGGCUGUAAACCCCGAUGAACCCCGAGGCCCGGGGCACCCGCAGCCACGCGGCGCGACGCAGGGCCAGCUUCUCCCCCAGCUUCCCUGGGGGCAAAAGGGGGGACAGGGACGGCGUUUGUCCCCUCCCGGAGCAGCCCCACCAGCCCCUCUCGUGCCCGUCGGUCCCGCAGGGUGACAGCGCGGCUCCAGCCCUGACGCUGCGCCUCCUCCUGCAGCCAGGCCUCUGCCUGCGGGGGGGCGGGACAAGGGGGGGACACACAAAAACAGGGGGGAGACAUAGAGGGGAGGGACACACACACACACACAUAAGGGGGGCAGGAGCUGGGGUCCCCUCAGCUGGGGCUGCAGAUAAAAAC